CUCAGAACGAACGCUGGCGGCAGGCCUAACACAUGCAAGUCGAGCGCUACCUUCGGGUGGAGCGGCGGACGGGUUAGUAACGCGUGGGAACAUACCCUUUUCUACGGAAUAGCCUCGGGAAACUGAGAGUAAUACCGUAUAAGCCCUUCGGGGGAAAGAUUUAUCGGGAAAGGAUUGGCCCGCGUUAGAUUAGAUAGUUGGUGGGGUAAUGGCCUACCAAGUCUACGAUCUAUAGCUGGUUUUAGAGGAUGAUCAGCAACACUGGGACUGAGACACGGCCCAGACUCCUACGGGAGGCAGCAGUGGGGAAUCUUAGACAAUGGGCGAAAGCCUGAUCUAGCCAUGCCGCGUGAGUGAUGAAGGUCUUAGGAUCGUAAAGCUCUUUCGCUAGGGAUGAUAAUGACAGUACCUAGUAAAGAAGCCCCGGCUAACUCCGUGCCAGCAGCCGCGGUAAUACGGAGGGGGCUAGCGUUGUUCGGAAUUACUGGGCGUAAAGCGUACGUAGGCGGAUCAGAAAGUAUGGGGUGAAAUCCCAGGGCUCAACCCUGGAACUGCCUCAUAAACUCCUGGUCUUGAGUUCGAGAGAGGUGAGUGGAAUUGCGAGUGUAGAGGUGAAAUUCGUAGAUAUUCGCAGGAACACCAGUGGCGAAGGCGGCUCACUGGCUCGAUACUGACGCUGAGGUACGAAAGUGUGGGGAGCAAACAGGAUUAGAUACCCUGGUAGUCCACACCGUAAACGAUGAAUGCCAGACGUCGGGCAGUAUACUGUUCGGUGUCACACCUAACGGAUU
rnacentral:rRNA from 1 species